ACCCUUCCCUCUUUCUUUCUCUCUCAAAUUGAAAAUCCCCUUCUGAAGAACCCUAACCCUAUUAGAGGAAAUCACCAAAGCAACGUAGCCACCAUCAACCCCCACCGCUAUUGACGUCAGCGGUGACAACUCGAAGGUUUGCUCUUCUCGCCGUAUCGCCAGAAGGUCGGUUCGGAGCUACUGUUGGCGUCUCUAUCCUCGUCGUCGUCGCCUAUGUCUUCGUUGUCAUUGCAUCGCCGUCCUCGUUGUCGUGGAGCCCAGACCAUCGUGUCCAUCGUUGUCGAGCCCAUGUUCGAGCCAUUACUCUGUCUCACCCUUAUUGCGAAUGUCUCUCCUCAUCGUCACCUCUGUUCCACUGCUCGAUCCUCGUCUCUGUCUCGCCGUUCCUCCGUCGCCGUCAACUUGGUUCUUCCCUUGCUAGCAACAUGACGAUAGGUAACAGAGGUAAAUGGAGUGGGUCUCGUAGUUGUGGAAGAGGGAGGGCUUCCACCAAAUCUCCAGGGAUUAUUCAGUCAUCGCCCUCUACCCCGACUACUCCGUCGACCGCUGCGACGUCACAGGCGGGUCUAGCAGACCAACAGUUUAUCAUGGUCCCAAACCCAAACUACGUGCCUUCCUCUGCUACGUGGCCCCCAGCAGGAUGCCCCUUCACCACUGUCCAUCAUCUGACUGAGGAUUUGGCCCGAUGGCAUACAUGUGUUUGCACUUAACAACAAUGCUUGCACACAUGAGAUCGCUGAAGUCAUUAAGUUAAUGUACGACCACCCGUGGCUGAGUUUAAAUUCAUAUGGGAUGCAGAACAUAAUCUCAUGAUCAGAAAGAUCUAUGACCACUGGGAAGCUACACGGAUUCAGUAGAUGAUGAGCGACGUUCGUUAGGGGCACGACCACCUAACGACUUGGAUCCAUCCAGCCAUCAAGAAAGAACUGGAGGCCCAUUUUAGAGAUGAUGAGGGGUUCAAGCGUCGCCGUCUGAUAAACGUCCCUAACAGGACUUUUCCCAGGUCGUCGAAGUAUAUGGGUAGAUCGGCGACCUUCAUGAAGACGAAGAGCAGACUGGUCAUUGGAUCGUUAGAUGACACUGGCGGAGACCUUCAAGUAUACCCAUACUUUCAUUGUUGGCCGAGAUCGCUGCUCUUAAGCGAUUGAUUAAGCUUUCUAUUUGUCACUUCUCUAUCGGGUUACUUUUUUAUUUUUCUGCUAAUGGAAAAAUGUGCUUACUUUAAGCCACUUUAGUUAUAAAAAUUCUAAGUUUGAAUAGAAAAAACUAGCUUAGGGAAUUUUACUAUUGUGGUGGGUCGAUUCAACUUGAGGCAGAGCAUUUUAAUCAAGUGAAUCAAUGAAUACUUUGUUUUCUUUUACUUAGUCGUGGUUUUAGACUCGAAUGGUAGUUAAUUUUGGGUAUUAAUAAUGUCAAGGUUCAUUGUUCCUAAGUGUUAAGUUUGGUGCUAAUAAUUUUCUUUUGUUAAUAUCUUCGAAAAUUGGAUGCUUAAAGAAUCUGGAGUAUCUUGACCUUUCAUUCAAUAAAUUGAAGAAAUUGAAGAU